rnacentral:lncRNA from 1 species
AAUCAAUCUCAAGGAAGCUCUUUGGGAGCCAGGAUUCCCAGCACUUAGCUGGUGGGCAAAGGGGUUCAACCCCUUCCCCACACCCCACCUUCCCUCCUCCCAGUCUUCGGGAUUGCGGAGCUCCUGCCGGGAUCCAAGAGCAGGCUCUUGGAGGUCGAAGAAGGAUAUAACCUCCAGACCUGGAAUUUAAGACGCAAGAACCAGCCAGCAAAAGUGGCAGCCGAGCAUGCGAGGGACUGCUGAUGGCUUUUUAUUAGGAAGCUAUGCAACUUGAGGUUCUACUGAAAAGGAGAAGAGGCCACUGGAGAUGGGAAGCCACGAAAACAUGAAGAUGUAGAAGUCUCAGCUCCUUCAAUGCUAUGUCUGCCAAGAUGCUGCCACACUCCCUUCUUGAUGAUAAUGGACUGAACCUCUGAACCUGGACGAGAAACUACAGCAUUACUUCUGCAGAUUCACAAAGGAGUCCACGUUCCAAGAUGAGAGAAAUACCAGUGAGUCAUGUUCCUUUCCGUUUAGAAGAGAUAAUAUUGAGAUUCCAAGGAUGCUUUUCAAACCAGGAAUGAUGACCGGAAUAUUUGAUGCUAUUGAGCUAUUUACUAAUGUUGCUGCCUUACAGGAAGCCGAUGGCUAUUCUACUUGACUGAAUGAAAAGAAAAGGAAGGCACUUCCUGUCAAUCCUGCUUUGGAUUCCUAGACAGUUUAAGAAGCACCAUUGAUCUGAUCAUUGGCACUGAGGAGGAAAUGCCCAUCCGCAGAAGACAUGCAGGGCUCAACCCAGCUUGACAUGGGCAGUGAGUGGUUUCUGAUGUAACCCUUUCUGUAAACUACCCCCUCACACACAUGUAAACCCCUGCUUCCUCCUUUAAGUAGCCACAUUGGUGGUGCCUCUGUUGUAAGGUUACAGGGGAGAAUGACUAGACAGUAGUGAGGAAAGCAUUUGGGAAGGUGAUUCGUUUCUGUUUUUCUGGUACUCUCCCAAAACAGGAGAUACUCUUGUUGCAUAGAUGCAGUCAGUGGUUUCUUGCAGUCAGUGGUUUCUUGGAUUUGGGGAGUUAAAAGUCAUGUGACACAGGCCUAUUGACACAUCGAUGUGAGGAGUUUAAGGUAAUGCUGCUGUGAUUGAGAAGAAUCGCCCCAGUAAAGCUUUAGCAUGAAGCCAAGCAGCUUAUAAUGACACAGGAUUCUCAAUGAAUGAAGUUUUAAGGGAUAAAAUCUUUACAAUGAAAUAAAAACAAUCUUAAGAAAACGAUUAGGCUCUAGUAAAAAUAAGCUGUGUUUUAAGAGUGGUUUCUAUAUUCAGCGUUAUUAUCCUUCACUUAUACUCAGAUAAAUAUGUUAUGCUCAAGCUGGCUCAUAGUCUUCAGAAAUAAGAAUGGACAUUAUACUUUGAUGUAAUAUCAACAUGUUGCAUAUACAAAGUAAACACUUUUGGUGAUAAAAAAUA